rnacentral:rRNA from 1 species
AGCGAACGCUGGCGGCAGGCCUAACACAUGCAAGUCGAACGAACCUUUCGGGGUUAGUGGCGGACGGGUGAGUACCACGUGGGAACGUGCCUUUAGGUUCGGAAUAACUCAGGGAAACUUGUGCUAAUACCGAAUGUGCCCUUCGGGGGAAAGAUUUAUCGCCUUUAGAGCGGCCCGCGUCUGAUUAGCUAGUUGGUUGAGGUAAUGGCUCACCAAGGCGACGAUCAGUAGCUGGUCUGAGAGGAUGAUCAGCCACAUUGGGACUGAGACACGGCCCAAACUCCUACGGGAGGCAGCAGUGGGGAAUCUUGCGCAAUGGGCGAAAGCCUGACGCAGCCAUGCCGCGUGAAUGAUGAAGGUCUUAGGAAUGUAAAAUUCUUUCACCGGGGACGAUAAUGACGGUACCCGGAGAAGAAGCCCCGGCUAACUUCGUG